CCUAGAACAACCAGGGGUUAGCUACUCCGCGCUUCUUUGAUGCAGCUGCAUCUGGAACCUGAAAUCGCUUCUCGGCUGGAAGAUGGUGUUGAACACUAAUUGGCCGCAGCUGCUUUAUUGGCAAAGGGAUGAAAACACACACAGAUUCUGACAACUUUUAUUCCAUGGAACUGUAAAGGAUCUUGUACCUGCAUAGAUGGCAUAAAAACAGGUAAAAUUGCCUUUGAAUCACAUUAUGUUAGAUGCAUUACAACCCAAGGAGUAGACAUAAUCCAACACUAAAAUCAUUUUAAUAAAAGCUUAGGUCUCUUUGAGAUUUUAUUUCCU
rnacentral:lncRNA from 1 species